rnacentral:lncRNA from 1 species
UGGUGGGAUGAAAAGUUGAGAGCGUUUUCUCUAACAUUUGGGAUUCAGAAACUGGAUCUCCGCACAAAGCCAAAGUAGAGGUUAUUCUAUAAACAUUGGAACUAUAUUCCGUAAUUGAUUUGUAAUCUUGUAGCCUCAAAUUCAGCCACUCAAAUUUGGCAUUAGGGAGAACAACCAAUUUUUGGUGGUCAAAUCUUUCCUUCAG